CCUACGGGAGGCAGCAGUGGGGAAUAUUGCACAAUGGGGGAAACCCUGAUGCAGCGACGCCGCGUGAGUGAAGAAGUAAUUCGUUAUGUAAAGCUCUAUCAGCAGGGAAGAAAAUGACGGUACCUGAGUCAGAAGCCCCGGCUAACUACGUGCCAGCAGCCGCGGUAAUACGUAGGGGGCAAGCGUUAUCCGGAUUUACUGGGUGUAAAGGGAGCGUAUACGGCAGUGCAAGUCUGGAGUGAAAGGCGGGGGCUCAACCCCCGGACUGCUCUGGAAACUGUACGGCUGGAGUGCAGGAGAGGUAAGUGGAAUUCCUAGUGUAGCGGUGAAAUGCGUAGAUAUUAGGAGGAACACCAGUGGCGAAGGCGGCUUACUGGACUGUAACUGACGUUGAGGCUCGAAAGCGUGGGGAGCAAACAGGAUUAGAUACCCCAGUAGUC
rnacentral:rRNA from 1 species